rnacentral:rRNA from 1 species
ACGAACGCUGGCGGCGUGCUUAACACAUGCAAGUCGAACGGAAAGGCCCUGCUUGCAGGGUCCUCGAGUGGCGAACGGGUGAGUAACACGUGGGUGAUCUGCCCUGCACUUCGGGAUAAGCCUGGGAAACUGGGUCUAAUACCGGAUAGGAGCCAUUUUUAGUGUGAUGGUUGGAAAGUUUUUUCGGUGUAGGAUGAGCUCGCGGCCUAUCAGCUUGUUGGUGGGGUAAUGGCCUACCAAGGCGGCGACGGGUAGCCGGCCUGAGAGGGUGGACGGCCACAUUGGGACUGAGAUACGGCCCAGACUCCUACGGGAGGCAGCAGUGGGGAAUAUUGCACAAUGGGCGCAAGCCUGAUGCAGCGACGCCGCGUGGGGGAUGACGGCCUUCGGGUUGUAAACUCCUUUCGCUAGGGACGAAGCUUUUUGUGACGGUACCGAGAUAAGAAGCACCGGCUAACUACGU